rnacentral:lncRNA from 1 species
GCGGGAACCUCCUAUGAGAAGCAUGACCGUGCAAAGAAAGUCUUUCAACCGCCCAAGCCUUACAAUAUCAAAAUAAAUAUUGAGCCAAAUUUCACAAUGUUUUAUAUUCCAUUCAGUUAAUCAAUUAUAAAUCAUGUUACCUGCAACACGGCCACAUUGCCAUUAAGACUGAGUGACUGGGCGAUUCCUCCAGACAUUAUUUUCUUCAUACAUUUAUUUAAAUUAUGUACAAUAUGUUUAUGUACACCAG